UUCCAUUUACAAGAAUAUCGUAUGUAGUGUCAUCAGGCACAAGACCUAUGUCAAGCAUCUCGUCAUGCAGUCUAAAAGUCUCCUGCAGAUUCCCCUCCUUAAAAUGUCCAACAAUUAAAGUGUUA
rnacentral:miRNA from 1 species